UAACGAUGUGGAGCCAAGUAGAUUUGGUUUCUUCCCAGUUGCAGCAAAGCACUCGACUGAGAAGAGUUUUUCAAAGCCUAGAAAAACCCGGCCCGACAAAAGGCCCAAGCCCAGCUCUUGAGGCCAGAAACGACUUCGUUUUGGGACCUUCGGUUUCCUUCUUCCUUGCGUCGACAGAGAUGGAUUGGGUUAAAAAAAAAUGAACAACAAAAAACAGAGGAAGAUAGCAAGUGGAAACGUGUCCGAUGAUGAUAUAAGCCGGUGAGGGUUGGUAGAAUGACGAUGAUGAUGAUUGAUGGACAAUUUAAGGCUGAAAGAAGAAGAGAAAUGAUGUGACCAGGAAUCAGAGCAGGUCGUCGAUUGAUGAAGAAGAAACGCCAGGAGAUGGCGUGACGGAAUAAAUGAGCAGCGGCGGAUGAGGAGAGCCAUCAACCUGAAGAAAUUUGAUGGGAAGACUCGGCUGUAAAAGGAGCCGAGGUAGGGCAAGCUAAUACGGAGAGAAAGGAGGAUCAUUCUCUGGGCUCUUAGAGUUUUAUCUUACAUCAAAGAUUGUGACUGAUUCAACAUACAACACACUUGUCUCGGACAUGUGAUAUUUCUGGUAAGGAUAUACAUAUAUAAAUAUAUAUAUGUGUGUGUAUAUAUAGGCUGUGAAGUCAACCUGGAGGCAAAAGCAAAUGAAGAUGGCCCAAGAGCGGUGAUAAAGGAGAAUCACAGUUUCAAAAAAGCUAGAAGUUAAUUCAAGAGUUGUUAGAGUUUGUCCUGUUAAGACUUUUUCUGAGUCCUCCACCGUACAUGGAAAAGCUUACUUCAACUUUCUUUGAUGUGAUUUUCCGCGUUAAUAUUAUAAUGGUUGUCUGUCUCCGUCAACCAAUAAUUUCUCUUGGACUGCUUGUUUUAUCUCCUUGCUUGGUCCUUGUCCUUUCAUGAUUAUGAUGAUUGGAUCAUAUUAUAUUCCUUUCAUACA